rnacentral:rRNA from 1 species
UGUGAUUUACCAUGUGCCCACCUUUCUCAUCUGAUUUCUGAAGCUAAGCAGGGUUGGGCCUGGUUAGUACUGGGAUGGGAGACCCCAGGGAACACCAGGUGCCACAG